UCCAGAGUAGCUCAAUGGUAGAGCAGCCGGCUGUUAACCGGCGGGUUAGAGGUUCGAGCCCUCUCUCUGGAGCCA
rnacentral:tRNA from 2 species